CCAAAAAACCAACACAGAAACAGAAAACAUAGAAUGCCCACCCAAACUCACGUCCUGACCAACUAACACAUAUAACAAACUAACAGAAAUAGGUCAGGAACGUGACAGGGUCAUAAAAUAAGCAGAAAGGGUCGUUAAACUAUGGUUGAACUGACCCAACUUAGCUCUGAGGUGUUUAGAUAACUUUUUAGGUCUUCUAUUAUCUUGAGUUGUCUGCUAAAGUGGUAAUCAAUUAUAGUGAGCCUUCAGGAUAAAUGAUUAUAUGGUGUUUCAUGUGAGUGCCCUGUGAGGUUAGAAUGAACUUUUGAACCUGUUUUCUAUUUGUCAGGACAAUGAGACUUAAUUCUGUAAUCUAUGACAUCAUAUCUUGUAUAUAAAUCUGUGUUUAUGAUCAAAUGGCAGCGUGCUCCGAGAAUAAACACUAUUAUCUACUUUUAAUAUGACUGUAUCCUGUCUAUUUUAUGUUAAUAAGUAUCUUACAAAUUCUUAUAAAUAGACAGAUUGAAUUUAAUUAAUUAGCAUAUUGUAGGAAUCAUUUAAUUCCACUAACAAUUGGUCCUUCGAGUGGAUUUCCAAACUUUGCCUCUGUCAUCCGAAGAUACUAGCCGAAAACAGUGCACGGGCGGGUCAAGACCCGUUAUUUAAAGUCCUGGCCUCUGAUUUGAGGUUAAACAACAGGCCGGUAUAUAUAUAUAUCUGAGGUAGACAGAGACGGUGACGGAAUCAAACCAGCAUUGCUUUUCCCAGUCUGCAAGACGAAGGUAAAUAGUCUUUAUUCUCGAAAUGUGGGGGGUAUGAUGUAAGUUAUCUUUGAUUUUAAGUUCUAAACGUGUUUAGCAUUUAUCAAUAAUAGUAGCUUCUCUAUUCCAAACAUAUUGUGGGUUACUUGUAUGACCGAAAUACAAGGAAGUUGUUAUAGGUCCGAAAAGACCUAUGGUGGGUGCAUGACCGAAAAAAAAAUAUUGCUUUAAAUGAUCCUGGCCUUGCAAGCCGUAAGGAUUAUUUAGGGAGGAUAUAGUAAGUGUUGUUAGAUAGGACGGUCGUUUUGUACAAAUAGGACAGCCAUUAAUUCAAAAGACAUACCCAAAUAAAGUUUUAACCUAAAUAGUCUAUCUGUCUGGGAGACGUAGGCUGACCAUGAAAGAUAGCAGAAAGAUAUUAAAACAGGUGAGGAUAAAUUCGGUUUGGUGAGAAGGCAGGGUAAUCCUAGGCGAACGGAAUAACUGAUCCUAUUCAAUACUGAAAGGGAAUAUCCAAAAGAGUGGGAGGGAAACUUAAUAUAGCGAAGUGAGAUUUGGAUAAAUACAACCAGAGUUUGACCAGGGAAGUAAGUCCCCUGGCUAAUAACUGAUAGUUAAAAGUAAGAUCUAAUGUUCGAUCGAUAACAACGCUAUAGAUAAAGUUUCCAAGGAAGAGAUUCAUAUAAAGUCAUACACAUAGAUUAUAACUUGGGUAAAAGUGGAACGCACAUAAAAUAGAAAUCUAUUCACCUAAAUUGUGAGAGCGGUAAAAGUAGUAACACACACAUAGAGAAAUAAAUAAAUAAAUAAAAAGACAUAGAUAGGUGAUAAUACCAUAACUACUAGUAAAGGCCAGGAUUUAUCAAACAUGGGUAGUAAAUCCUCCAAGGAGGUCCCGGUAUUAACGGGAGACCAGCGUUUUAUGGAACUGAAAGAUAAGAGUAAUUUAGAAUUCUGUCCAAAAUGGAGUAAACAUUAUGGAUUUGAUGGUAGGCUAAAUGUUGAAAAACUAGAAUUGCUUAUCAAACAGAUACAUAAGAAGUGUGGUGAGGAUGAGAAGAAGCAGAAUAAACAGGGGUUAUACACAGCUAGAGUCUGGCUUUCGGAAGCUAGGAAAAGAGUAGAGGGUGGUAACAGAAAGAAAUCUAAAGAGAGACAAAAUACACUGCACUCCGCUCCCACAGAUGAAAAAGUUAGCCGAAUGGAGGGGGGUGGGAGUCAAAUACUAUGUCCUUCUCUAGUAGACCAGAUAUACAGAGGUAAUACUGUUGAUGAGAUAGUAGUGGUGAGAAUACGGCUGCAGGAGAUAACGGUACUACCACCCAAAAUUGUGGAGUCUGCUGAAGCCGAAGGAGGAAUAGUCGGAGUAGAGAAAGAAAAUAAGUCGAGAAAAGUGGGAAAUGCGAGUCCAAAGAAAAAGAGAAAAUGUUUUAAUUGUAAUGAAACUGGACAUUUCGCCCGGGAAUGUAACACUCCCUGCAAACAUUGUGACAGGAUUGGACACAAUCACCGAGAUUGUAAUAUAACUAAGGGAAAGGUCAGGCGCGACUAUCGGGAGAAAAAACAGUUGCGUUCUUGAUGGUGGUGCUGGAAGAAAUAUGUUACAUGAGUAAACAUAAUCUACAUUUAUUAAAAGGCACGAGAUCUGUUUCCUAGUCUAUAAAUGUUGAUUUUAUUGUUUGACUGCUAAUCUAUUAAUUUGGCAUGGGGGAAAUAUAGCCGGAAUAAGGCUUGUAGCUUUUAAAUGAGGGCUAUUUUUGUAGUUUCUGUGUUGUCACCAAGAAUACAGAUAAAGGUAAAGUGGGUUUAAAUAAGGAUAAUGUGUUAUUGUCUACAAGGCUUUGGUGGAUCAGUGGUAGAAUUCUCGUCUGGAACGCGAGAGUCUCGGGUUCGGUUCCCGGUAAAUGCUUUGACUAGAAUCAGAGUUUUUGAUUCUAAUUAAACUAUUUGUAUGUUUUGCUUAGAAAGUUAUAGUUGCUAGUGUUUGUAUAAGAUAUAAACUGAACGUUUUAAUAGAUUGUAUAGGUUAAAUUAAUAGACUAAUUCGUUCCACUUAAAAUAAUAACGAAGCGAAUUUCGAUGCAAGACGAUGUCUGUUGCCUAAAUUAUAUGUUUGAAUAAUGUAUUGGGAAUAUAGUCGUAAUUAAAAUGCUGAAUCAAGGAAGAGAUAGUUACUAAAUCUGAUGAAUUCUAAAGAAUAACGGAGAAAUACGAUAAAGUUGUGCCCAUCGGAAUAUUAUAAUUAUUUGGCCAUUGUUCAGGUACACUAUUUUCUAUAAUUCUGGCAGUAUAGUUUUGAUUGAGAGAUGUUGAUUGACGUUGUAAAUUCUAUUCAAGAUCCAACCUUUGUGAUAAAUUGGGUUUGGUUUAUCGAACCCGUACUACUGUUGCUGCAGACAGCCAACAAUUAUUUACAAUUCAUUUAAAGUCGUUGCGGCUUGGGUCUGGGUUGAGCGCCUGUUGAUGACAUCACUCACAAGGCACUUUUGUCGCCACGGCAAUGAUGUUGUGACUGGGGUGUGGCAGAGAAAAGUGUUUGUGUCACUUAGAAGGAAAAUGCAUCCAUUAUGGUUUUGAGUCACUUUUCAGAAGUUGAUAAACAUUUCCAGAUACAUUUUUAAAAGUAGCUGUAAAUCGUCAGGGUAGUUAGGAAAGAUGCUAAAAACUAGCAACAGAUUCGCUAGGUAGGCAUCAUUGAUUUAUGGUGUUUAUUGGACUAUAUUCACCUGUGUGAAGGGAGAUCUGAAUGUCUGAAUCGUAAAACAUAGUAAUAAUGGAUUCUGAUGGUUAUUGAUUAUAAACAUUGUAUUCUGGUGUGUUUAAGUAGGAUUCCUUCUUCCGGGACGGAUGGAAGUUAUCUAAAAUAUGUAAGUUGAAGGAGCCAUGGGAAAAUACGUUUACAUUUUUAUUAAAUACCUGGGAUUAAAUUACUGAUUUCUUACACUGAGAAAUGUAAGAAAUUUGCGACAGAGGAAAAAAGUAAUACGGUUAGAUGAUAAAUAUCAGGUUAAUUGCAUCUAAGGCUAGCAUGUUCACUUAAGUAGGAAUAUACAUGGACGUUGUUUAAAAUUUAUGAUUAAUGAUUUGAGGUAAAUUGGAAAUUAUCUUUAGGUUGGGUUAAUGGUUCACUUUUCAGUUUCUGAAUCGAUGUAGCAGAGUGAAUGCUAGUUAGGCGUUUUGUGUUUUUCCUGGGAAAGUGGGAGUUUUAUGGUCUCUUGAAUGUUUCCUGGGACUAUUAUCUUGGGGAGAGAUUGAGGAGUGAGAUUGAGGCCAUAAACGACCAAAUUGGAAAGGGCCUGAAAGGUCUUUGUUUUUUCAUUAAGGUUUGCAAAUAUACACACAUUAAACAUUUGUUAGGACUGUUUUGUUUUAGUGCAAAGGUAUUUUAAAGAGGCAUGCUCACAUAUGGAGUUUUAUGAGUUUUUAUCUUCUGAGUUUUAAUUACACAAGUGAAUUUUUUGAUUUUAAGGAUAAAGGGUUCUUUAAAAUGUCUAGGAACAUGACUAUACAGGGGGGGUAUAGCCUUUGACCUUUAUCAUGGCUGUCUCUUGAAGUCUGAUCAGCUUCAGGGGAGGGCCAUGUAGAUAAUGCAUUUGUUGUCAUUUGGGAUACUAGUUUUGAGGUAAAUUAAUUGACUAUUAUUGAUUUGGUAUUACAACUGGAAAAAUCCCCUUUGUCAUCAAUAAUAAAUUAGGGAAGAUAUGAUACAUUGAGGUUUGGACAAGAGACAUUUUAAGCUAAUAGGGCAGGAAAAUACAUAAGAUUUCAAAUUAUUUAUGAGAAGAAAUAAGUUUUAGUUCUUAGGAGUGGUAAUUUACUGUGGAUAAGGUAUCCACACUGUAAAACAUAUGUUAAUUAUUUGUGAGACUGAGUUUAAGUUUAACCAAUAUUAUUAUUUAAUAAAAAACAGUGGACUCCUGGGGGAGAGAGCUUAUUAGUAAAGAAAGGAUUUGAUAUGGUUACCAUUUGUUUUGGCCAUUAGAAUAUUUUUAUUUAAAUAGUAUUAAAAUUGACAGGGGUAUAUGACAUGUGUGAUGAUUUGGGAUUAUUGAUAGGUUGAUUAAAGUUAUGUAAGGAUUUUAGAGAUUGACACUAUACGACAUGUUUUUUUAAAUCCAUGAUUUUAGAUAAAGCCAAAACAGUGAGACACUUAGUUAAUAUUUGGAUGGAACACAUAGUUGUUAUUGACUAUUAUGAGAAAAAGGCAUACAGAGGGGUCUGCCAUGCACUGUUGAGAUCUUGAAGGUUUGAGAGCAGAGUGGAGAGGGGGGACCAGGACAGGAGCAAGAUAGGCUGUGAAAUAAGUUAGGUGAGGAAAAGGAUACGGUUUAAAUCAAUAAAUAUAUAUAUUUAAGAACAUAUAUAAGCAGCACAGAUACCUUUGAAAGUAGAUAAGUCACUUGACAGAGAAUUGGAAAAGGAUAGAUAUGAAUGGACGCCCAAGGGAGAAUUGGACAUGCGGCGAAUGAAAGGGGCGUUCCUACAUGAUAAUGUCAAACAUAAGGAUAAUUUACACUAAUUUUACCUAAGUCAUUGGUUAGGUUAGGCAAGGUUGUUACCUGGCAGAGACAGGUAACAAAGGGGGAUGGGUAAGUGUUGGUCUAGGAUAGGAUGUGGCCUAUUGGAUGAUAAACUAAUAAAUAAAAAAAAUCUAGCUAAACAAGCAGAUAUAGAAAUAGAAAGAAGUAUUGUUAAUUACAUGAAAAGGUUGUUUGUUUAACCAAACCUGUAUGUCCAAGAUUUUAUGCACUACAGGUGAAUUACAGGUGAAGUCACUCAAUCCAGUCCCUGAGGCCUGUUGAGGGGACCAUACCAGGGACUCCUGUUAACAGCUAGCUGAAAGAGCUACCAGGAUUCAUAUCACACUGAGGGAGGGGUAAGACACAUUGACACUGUCGAACAAGCACAGUGUCCGAGAGGAGAACUGGAAUUAACAGAAUUCUGGGGGCCAUCUCUCGGAUGAAAAUUUCCUUUUCCCGUCAUUUCAUCCCUGUGUUUGUUCAUAGAAGUGAAAGUGUGUCUGGCUUCUUGCUGAUGAUGUUUUCUCUGGGAGAGGGUGGGGCUUUAUAGGUGGGCGGUCCAUCCUGAGCUGUCUGGUUGUGGGAGCCAUAUUCCUGAUACACCAUGAACCCCAAGAAGGCCAGAGGGAUUCUGGAGAAAUCGAUGACACAACAGAUGAUGAAGUACGGACCAAUUCUAGGCUCUGACCAGUUGAAGGAUGAAUGUAUGGGCCCGGAUCUAGUGGAACAUGACUCCGGAUCUUUUAAUUAUGAGGAACCGAGAUUGGACGAGACUGUAUUUGACGUUUAGAGAAUUUAGACGGUUACAUGUUUCAAUGGAUAGAUUGUUUCUUUAAUGAAGACUGUAACGAAAAAUCCUAAAUAUGGAGUUAUGUUUCUGAUAUAGGUUAGAACAGUCAUUGAUGUUGAUGGAGUGUAAAUACAUGUAUUGAUGUGGUUUUAUUCUUGUAUAAACAUUUAUGUUUUUAUAUGAUAUUUGAUAUGUAGCUAUGAAUUGUUUUGUUAUUUAGGGUGGAUUGUUAGGAAUUUUGUUAAUAAAUAGUUAAAACAAAUUCUAGCUUUAGAUAAAACUAUAACUAAUUGAACUCUGCAUGUCUGGGGAAAAGAGAUUUGUGUUGUGGGUCAUAAAAUAAGCAGAAAGGGUCGUUAAACUAUGGUUGAACUGACCCAACUUAGCCCUGAGGUGUUUAGAUAACUUUUUAGGUCUUCUAUUAUCUUGAGUUGUCUGCUAAAGUGGUAAUCAAUUAUAGUGAGCCUUCAGGAUAAAUGAUUAUAUGGUGUUUCAUGUGAGUGCCCUGUGAGGUUAGAAUGAACUUUUGAACCUGUUUUCUAUUUGUCAGGACAAUGAGACUUAAUUCUGUAAUCUAUGACAUCAUAUCUUGUAUAUAAAUCUGUGUUUAUGAUCAAAUGGGAGCGUGCUCCGAGAAUAAACACUAUUAUCUACUUUUAA